CAAUGCCGCGUGAGUGAAGAAGGCCUUCGGGUUGUAAAGCUCUUUUGUCAGGGAAGAAACAGCAGCUCUAACACAGUCUGCGAAUGACGGUACCUGAAGAAUAAGCACCGGCUAACUACGUGCCAGCAGCCGCGGUAAUACGUAGGGUGCAAGCGUUAAUCGGAAUUACUGGGCGUAAAGCGUGCGCAGGCGGUUAUACAAGACAGGCGUGAAAUCCCCGGGCUUAACCUGGGAAUGGCGUCUGUGACUGUAUAGCUAGAGUGUGUCAGAGGGGGGUGGAAUUCCACGUGUAGCAGUGAAAUGCGUAGAUAUGUGGAGGAACACCAAUGGCGAAGGCAGCCCCCUGGGAUAACACUGACGCUCAUGCACGAAAGCGUGGGGAGCAAACAGGAUUAGAUACCCUGGUAGUCCACGCCCUAAACGAUGCUGACUAGUUGUUGGGAAUCUACAUUCUCAGUAACGUAGCUAACGCGUGAAGUCAGCCGCCUGGGGAGUACGGUCGCAAGAUUAAAACUCAAAGGAAUUGACGGGGACCCGCACAAGCGGUGGAUGAUGUGGAUUAAUUCGAUGCAACGCGAAAAACUUUACUACCUUGACAUG
rnacentral:rRNA from 1 species